CCUACGGGUGGCAGCAGUGGGGAAUAUUGGGCAAUGGAGGCAACUCUGACCCAGCAACGCCGCGUGAAUGAUGAAGGUCUUCGGAUUGUAAAGUUCUGUGAUGGGGGAUGAACACAAUGACGGUACCCCAAUAGCAAGCCACGGCUAACUACGUGCCAGCAGCCGCGGUAAUACGGAGGAUGCGAGCGUUAUCUGGAUUUAUUGGGUUUAAAGGGUGCGCAGGCGGAAGAUCAAGUCAGCGGUAAAAUUGAGAGGCUCAACCUCUUCGAGCCGUUGAAACUGGUUUUCUUGAGUGAGCGAGAAGUAUGCGGAAUGCGUGGUGUAGCGGUGAAAUGCAUAGAUAUCACGCAGAACUCCGAUUGCGAAGGCAGCAUACCGGCGCUCAACUGACGCUCAUGCACGAAAGUGUGGGUAUCGAACAGGAUUAGAUACCCGAGUAGUC
rnacentral:rRNA from 1 species